rnacentral:lncRNA from 1 species
GCGAAUUCCUGUCCCGGUCGUCGGGCAGCCACUGGACACUUGCCCAUCUUUCAGCCUUUAAAUUGAGAGGAACCACCGAAGAACGCAUGCACAGUGUUUCCCAAAAGCCCUGUAUCCUUGGGAGCAACCAAGAUGUAAUCGGUCAGAGAAAUGGUUUCUUCCUGGAUCCAUGUGAGUUAAACUGUUGUGGGACUGGAGACACUCGCGCCUGCAGAGUUGUGGUGACAAGCAAGCCCUCCUCUUUGCUCCCUGUCUGAAGUCUGCAUAUUCCAUGAAUCCUUGAGGGAGCCUGAUUCUUAUAAGGUAUGUACGCCUAUGAAUGAAUUUCACAGUUUAUUGCCAUGUCUGUAAAAGUAGGAACGUCGGCUAUUUGUUACUUUAGUGGCCUACAGAGUUUCAGUGCAUCUCCUUAGCUGCAAAUCACCCACUUAAAAUAAUG